UCUUCUAUCUAUAGACUGACUAUCUUUACCUAGAGAAAGCUCGUAUGGAUCUAUAGUAAUCUGGAAUGAUUCAUAGUACUCGAAGUGGUAUCGAGAAUAUCAAGGUCUCGUUUAUUAUUAACUAAUCAUCAAUCCCUUGUAUUAUUAAUUAAUGAUAGGAUAAGAAUCUAAGCGUUCCCGUCCAAAUUAUAAUAAAACCAUCUGGUCGCAAUGUUUUCUGGCGCACGUGGCGAAUUGGUAAUUGAAAUUAUUUCGCAACAAUGAAGCACGCAGUUGAAACACAGGAUGUAUAAUUAAAGUUCAAGAUCGAGGUCGACGUAUUGAUCGAACCUACGCGAAGACUACAAAUUUUCUUCCGCUCGAGCCGAGAAGCUAAGAGGGGAAAAAAAGGUGAAUCGUAGCUUUUUACGGGAUUUCCGUUGUGUCCCAUCGAUUCUAAGGGAUAAUGAUUCCAACAACUAUACAUCUUCGUUUAAAGUUAAAAUACAACAUUUUCAUUUCAGAAUUUAUUCUAUUGGAAUCUCUGGGAUAUUUUUACAAAAAUUUCCAUUUUGGGAAAAAUAGAAAUGAAUUAUGCAAAAAUAAAAAUAAAAAAAUGGAUGACAUUCCUUUUAUAAAAAAACCACGACCAUUCGUCGAUAAAUUUUUAUCGGCACGUAAAAACCAUUUCGUCACGCUUGGUCCGUGAUACUGUGGCUAUGUUUCAUGUAUCGAAAGAAGGCAUCGACGGGUACAUUUGCAUUCAGGGAAACCGAGUCGAAUGUUAUACCGUUUGUACGCGUUCCGACUUUGCGCUCUGUUCCAUCGAAGACGUAGUAAAAGUCUGCCUAAUGCCGGAUGGUGAGCCGCUUUACAUUCCGCAGGGAUGAAUUAAUAACCGAGAAUUUUGAAAUUUUCCCGACCGCGCCCGUGAAACUUUAACUUCGCCGCAACGUCAAUGAAAAUCUCCAAUUGGAACUUAAUUCGUCAAGCUUCCAUUUAUUUUUUUUUAUUUUAACGCACAGCAAAAACAGUGAUAUUUUGAUCAAUUUUAAAAAAGAUAAAAUUAUAAAAGGAAUAUAGAUCAAACUUCAGUGCGUAAAAAUGAUUAUUUCUCCACAAUUUUGAAUGGUUCCGGAUUCAAUUUUUUCUUCUUACGAUCUAAUAUCGGAACAAAAUCUUUCCUCUACAUCUUUCAAACGUUCCCUCGACAAUCUUAGAAAGAAAAAAAAAAAAAAAGAGAGAGAUCC